rnacentral:rRNA from 1 species
UACGUAGGUGGCAAGCGUUGUCCGGAAUUAUUGGGCGUAAAGCGCGCGCAGGCGGCCUUUUAAGUCUGAUGUGAAAGCCCACGGCUCAACCGUGGAAGGUCAUUGGAAACCGAAGGGCUUGAGUACAGAAGAGGAAAGCGGAAUUCCACGUGUAGCGGUGAAAUGCGUAGAGAUGUGGAGGAACACCAGUGGCGAAGGCGGCUUUCUGGUCUGUAACUGACGCUGAGGCGCGAAAGCGUGGGGAGCAAACAGG